rnacentral:rRNA from 1 species
UACGAAGGGGGCUAGCGUUGUUCGGAAUUACUGGGCGUAAAGCGCACGUAGGCGGACAUUUAAGUCAGGGGUGAAAUCCCGGGGCUCAACCUCGGAACUGCCUUUGAUACUGGGUGUCUUGAGUGUGGAAGAGGUCAGUGGAAUUGCGAGUGUAGAGGUGAAAUUCGUAGAUAUUCGCAGGAACACCAGUGGCGAAGGCGGCUGACUGGUCCACAACUGACGCUGAGGUGCGAAAGCGUGGGGAGCGAACAGG